ACGGAGGGAGCUAGCGUUGUUCGGAAUUACUGGGCGUAAAGCGCGCGUAGGCGGCGACACAAGUCAGAGGUGAAAGCCCGGGGCUCAACCCCGGAACUGCCUUUGAAACUAGGUUGCUAGAAUAUGGUAGAGGUAGCUGGAAUUCCGAGUGUAGAGGUGAAAUGCGUAGAUAUGCGGAAGAACACCAGUGGCGAAGGCAGCUUACUGGACAAGUAUUGACGCUGAGGUGCGAAAGCGUGGGGAGCAAACAG
rnacentral:rRNA from 1 species